rnacentral:lncRNA from 1 species
UUUACUUUUUUUUUUUUUUUUUUUUUGCCUUUUCUAAGGCUGUUCCCGUGGCACAUGGAGGUUCCCAGGCUAGGGGUCCAAUCGGAGCUGUAGCCACCAGCAUACACCAGAGCCACAGCAACGUGGAAUCCGCGCCAUGUCUGUGACCUACACCACAGCUCACGGCAACACCGGAUCCCUAAUCCACUGAGCAAGGCCAGGGACUGAACAUGCAACCUCAUGGUUACUAGUCGCAUUCGUUAACCACUGAGCCAUCAUGGGAACUCCUAACGGUUCAAUUUUAAAUGUUUAUUGAACACCUACUAUAUGCUACAAGCUCUCCUAGGCACUAGUUAUGCAAUAAUGAAUAAAACAAAGAAAAAUAGAAAUCCAAACUGUCAAAGAGCUUAUGUUCUCUUAGAAGAAAACAAAAAGUGGAUAGAUAAGUAAAAUAUGUGGUAUAUUAGAUGACCAAGAAUGCUAAGAAAAAAAAAAAUUAAGAUAAUACCAAGGCCCUAGAGUGUUAAGAUGGGGGCAUCUUGGUGGGUCUAAGAAGGCGACAUUUGUAUAAAGAUUAAAAGAGGUAAAUCGUGUGAUAUUUGCCAGAAGUAUAUAAGGAGUGCCUUUUGACUGUUUCAGACAUCAGCCUUGGAAUGGGAGAGUGAUGUCUGCUCUUUUCUUGUUGAUACAGACCUUGGGCGUUUGCAUCAGGAGAAAAGUAUGGUGGGAUUAAGUACCUUCCCAUCUUUUCCACGCAGUUUUUUUUUUUUUUUUUCCCACAAGUCUGAUGAAUUUUAUUUCUGUUUUUUCUUCCUUAAUAUCAUAUAUACCUUACAGUUAGGGGAAAUUCUUUUCAGAUUUUGACAUUUUUUGUCAAUAUCUUUAUUCUUUAAUCUCAUGCAUGUCUUUGCAGUAUUUUGUUAGGAAGUCAUGUGUCAAGGGGAAAUAGCAAUGGGAGGUAUUCAUUAACCACUACUUUAAACUGUGAGGCAUCUUAUUUAAUCCUGAAGAAAACCCUGCAAGAUUUUCACCAUACACUCCAAUUUUAUAUAUGAGGAAACUGAGAAGGAGGACUGUUAAAGGAAUCAUCCACCAUUGGUUGAAUGAUUCCAUAGAUUAACUUAGUAAAUGCUGGCAUUAAUCUGAUAGCUACGUCUGUGUUUUCCUCACUAUCCCACACGGUAGUGUGGCAGGGACUGUUAACUAAACCCUUAAGAUCCAUCUUCUGCAAUCUUCUUAACAGCAACAUUUCUAUAUUAUUGGGUGCAGCAGUGUGACCAGCUACAGGACAUCGCCUUGGUUUUGUUUCACCUAGAGGGGAGUCAAUCAGAAGUUUUUGGGUGGGGCUUGCAGAAAAACGCCAUAAGGGUCUGAUGUAGCUGGAAGGUGUACUGUUUUGUUCACUCUCCCUUUCUUCUUUUUUUCUUCCUGCAGCAUGGAUGUAGAAGCAGGACUUCCAGCAGCCAUCUUGUGACCUUGAGGAUGGAUGCCGUGUGUUAAGCAUGGUGGUGUAGAAAGACAAAAGGGACCCAAAACACUGAUGAUAGCAUUCAUCCAUCACACUAUUUCUGGACUGUCUCCCUCCUGACUUCUCUUACUCAAGAGAAAAGCAAUAUCCAUAUUGGCUUAAUACACUGUUAGCUCACAUCAUUCUUAUCAACAAUCAGAGGCAAUUUUUAACUCAUAGUCCUCUCUAUUGUGGAAUAUACUAUAAUAGGAAGUGACAGAGUUUUUUUUUUUAUCAGGCCACAUUUAUGUAAUAAUUAUUAAAAAGCUCUUUGCUUUAAAAGCAAAGAAACUUUUAUAUGGAAUGCAGGGUUUAGCACAUAGAACAUAUUUUUAGAAAACAAUUGAAUAAACACAGCAGUUAUAUUUUACAGAAACAGAUUUCCAAAUGAUAUGUUCCAGUAUGUGAGGAGGGUUCUACUUGAUAACUACUGAGUCCUGACCAACAAGUGCAAUGAAGAAACUUUGCUUGGACACAACCAAGACCCCUUGGCAAGAGAUGAAUAAACAUCAGGAAAUGGAGAAUCACAAGAAGUCUUCAGCACUCCGUUUGCUCUUUCAUCUAUCAAACCUUUACUGAGCCCUACUCUGGUUUGAGUGUCCACACAUGGGAUAUGGAGCUGCUGGCAUGAGUCCUAGAGAAUCAAGAUUCCCACAUGCUCUGCAGGCAUUGACAGAGGGCCCUGCAAAACUUGAGCUCGAAAUGAAUCAUGAUCAUGCAGCUUGGACGGCCCUGACACUUUGGCAAAGGAAGAAAGCCCAUCGUUCCACUCCACAUCCGCUGAAGUUGGGUCUUUGCUACUUUAGAGAGCAUUUGUUCUUUUGUAUUCUCCAGGCACAAGAGCGUUUGGAUUCUGGUCCUCUGUGAACAUUUCUGUCCAUAUUUGAAGCAUUCUGAAAGAGGCUGACUCUCAAUAGGCACUAAAAGGAUAAGGACAGACAGACAGAGGGACAGACAUACAAUGAAAUACCUGACCACUGCUCUUCAAAUCUGUCAAGGUCAUGGAAGACAUUAAAGGACCAAGAAAUUGUCACCCAUUGGAGGAGACCAAGCAGGAACAACAUCUAAAGCAAUAUGUGGGAUCCUAGAACAGAAAAGGGGUAUUGGUGGAAAAACUGGGUUAAGUCUCUAAGUUAACAGUUUAGUUAAUAGUAUUGCGUCCCUGUCAAUCUGUUAUUUUGAUAUCAUGGUUAUGUAAGAUGUUGCAUUAGAAGACAUUGGGUGAAGAGUAUAUGGGAAUAUCCUAUAAUGUCUUUGCAAAUCUUGUUUAAAUAAAAAAAUUAUCUCUAUAUAAAAAAAACUAAAAAUAAUAAAAACAUGAGUAUCUAUUUUCCAAGAAAGCAGGA